AGAGAGAGAGAGAGGGCAGGUGAGAGGAGGGGAUAGGGCACAGAGAGAGAGAGAGAGAGGGCAGGUGAGAGGAGGGGAUAGGGCACAGAGAGAGAGAGAGAGAGGGCAGGUGAGAGGAGGGGAUAGGGCACAGAGAGAGAGAGAGAGAGGGGGCAGGUGAGAGGAGGGGAUAGGG